UACGUAGGGUGCGAGCGUUAAUCGGAAUUACUGGGCGUAAAGCGUACGCAGGCGGUUCGUUGUGUCGGCGGUGAAAGCCCCGGGCUCAACCUGGGAAUGGCCGUUGAAACUGGCGAACUGGAGUGUGGCAGAGGGGGGGUGGAAUUCCGCGUGUAGCAGUGAAAUGCGUAGAGAUGCGGAGGAACACCGAUGGCGAAGGCAGCCCCCCUGGGCUGACACUGACGCUCAGGCACGAAAGCGUGGGGAGCAAACAGG
rnacentral:rRNA from 1 species